AUUGAACGCUGGCGGCAUGCUUUACACAUGCAAGUCGAACGGCAGCGCGGGCUUCGGCCUGGCGGCGAGUGGCGAACGGGUGAGUAAUGCAUCGGAACGUGCCCAGUAGUGGGGGAUAGCCCGGCGAAAGCCGGAUUAAUACCGCAUACGACCUGAGGGUGAAAGCGGGGGACCGAAAGGCCUCGCGCUAUUGGAGCGGCCGAUGUCGGAUUAGCUAGUUGGUGGGGUAAAGGCUUACCAAGGCGACGAUCCGUAGCUGGUCUGAGAGGACGACCAGCCACACUGGGACUGAGACACGGCCCAGACUCCUACGGGAGGCAGCAGUGGGGAAUUUUGGACAAAGGGGGCAACCCUGAUCCAGCCAUGCCGCGUGCGGGAAGAAGGCCUUCGGGUUGUAAACCGCUUUUGUUCGGGAAGAAAUCCUCUGGGCUAAUAUCCCGGGGGGAUGACGGUACCGGAAGAAUAAGCACCGGCUAACUACGUG
rnacentral:rRNA from 1 species